CUACGGGGUGCAGCAGUGAGGAAUAUUGGUCAAUGGGCGCAAGCCUGAACCAGCCAUCCCGCGUGAAGGAAGAAUGUCCUAUGGAUUGUAAACUUCUUUUAUGUACCAAGAAUGUGACCUACGUGUAGGUUUUUGACGGUAGUACAUGAAUAAGCAUCGGCUAACUCCGUGCCAGCAGCCGCGGCAAUACGGAGGAUGCGAGCGUUAUCCGGAUUCAUUGGGUUUAAAGGGUGCGUAGGCGGUUUCUUAAGUCAGUGGUGAAAUCCUGCGGCUCAACCGUAGAACUGCCAUUGAAACUGGGGACGUGAAUAUAGUUGAGGUAGGCGGAAUGAGUAGUGUAGCGGUGAAAUGCUUAGAUAUUACUCAGAACACCGAUUGCGAAGGCAGCUUACUAAACUAUUAUUGACGCUGAUGCACGAAAGCGUGGGGAGCGAACAGGAUUAGAUACCCCGGUAGUC
rnacentral:rRNA from 1 species